UAAAUUAGGCAGUUUUAUUCGUUUUAGGAUAUUUCAUAAAUGCAAUUGAAAAAGACAAGCAAAAAAUAAGGAGUUUAAUUAAUGAAGUAAGAACAUUUUUAAAUGGUACUUCUCUUUUAAUAAUAUAGACGUGGAUAUCAUCUCCUUAUAAGUAGCCAUUAGGGUUUGGGCUUAUAGUGCUUUUUAAAUAAAUGGGUCUAGCCCAAUUUGAUCUGAAGAUAAAGAUUGAUCAAAUACACUAUAUGGAGAUGCGUUUAUUUUACAUGCCAUUCACACUCACUACUCGAAGCCUCGAGCUAUACUUAGAUUAAUAAUGGUCUCAUAAGAAAAUCGAGAUCACCAUAUCCCAUGUUUUACGUACUUAAUCUUA
rnacentral:lncRNA from 1 species